rnacentral:rRNA from 1 species
GACAAACGCUGGCGGCGUGCCUAAUACAUGCAAGUCGAGCGAAUCUCGAGGAGCUUGCUCCUUAAGAUUAGCGGCGGACGGGUGAGUAACACGUGGGCAACCUGCCUGUAAGACUGGGAUAACACCGGGAACCCGGUGCUACUACCGGAUAAUUCUUCUCCUCACAGGAGGGGAAGCUGAAAGUCGGUUUCGGCUGACACUUACAGAUGGGCCCGCGGCGCAUUAGGUAGUUGGGGAGGUAACGGCUCACCAAGGCGACGAUGCGUAGCCGACCUGAGAGGGUGAUCGGCCAAACUGGGACUGAGACACGGCCCAGACUCCUACGGGAGGCAGCAGUAGGGAAUCUUCCGCAAUGGACGAAAGUCUGACGGAGCAACGCCGCGUGAGUGAUGAAGGCCUUCGGGUCGUAAAGCUCUGUUGUUAGGGAAGAACAAGUAUCGGAGUAACUGCCGGUACCUUGACGGUACCUAACCAGAAAGCCACGGCUAACUACGUGCCAGCCGCCGCCGUAACAC